UACGGAGGGUGCAAGCGUUAUCCGGAAUCACUGGGCUUAAAGCGCGUGUAGGCGGGCCGGCACGUCGGUCGCUGAAAUCCCCCGGCUCAACCGGGGAAGGGGCGCCGAUACGACCGGCCUGGAGGGACGUAGGGGGGGCCGGAACUUCCGGUGGAGCGGUGAAAUGCGUUGAGAUCGGAAGGAACGCCCGUGGCGAAAGCGGGCCCCUGGACGUCUACUGACGCUGAGACGCGAAAGCGUGGGGAGCGAACAGG
rnacentral:rRNA from 1 species